ensembl:lncRNA
AAAGGGUGGAGGAGGAGCGUGAGCCUUCACACCCUUGCUCACUUACUGCUCACAACACCCAGCUGGGAGUGCUCAUUACCUCUGUUUUUCAAGCGAGGAUUGACAGUUGUCUCAGCCAGCUGCAAGUCCGCGAGUGUUUCUAGUGGGGGUGGGGAGGGGAGUUUGACCUCCUGGGGCCCCUGCAGGGGGAUUUGGUUCUGCCGCUGUGCUGUGAUCUCAAGGCUCUGUCAUGGAGGAAGAAAUGGCAACCCACUCCAGUAUUCUUUCCUGGAGAACCCCAUGGGACAGUAUGAAAAGACAAAAAGAUAUGACACCUGAAGAUGAGUCCCUAGGUCGGAAGGUGUCCUGUCGAGUGGGCUACUGGGGAAGAGUGGAAGACAGUUAUUAGUAGCUGCAUAAAGGAUGAAGUCACUGGGCCAAAGUGGAAACGAUACUCAAUUGUGGAUGCAUCUCAUGGUGAAAGUAAAGU